GACGAACGCUGGCAGCGUGCUUAACACAUGCAAGUCGAACGGAAAGGCCCUGCUUUUGUGGGGUGCUCGAGUGGCGAACGGGUGAGUAACACGUGAGUAACCUGCCCUUGACUUUGGGAUAACUUCAGGAAACUGGGGCUAAUACCGGAUAGGAGCUCCUGCUGCAUGGUGGGGGUUGGAAAGUUUCGGCGGUUGGGGAUGGACUCGCGGCUUAUCAGCUUGUUGGUGGGGUAGUGGCUUACCAAGGCUUUGACGGGUAGCCGGCCUGAGAGGGUGACCGGCCACAUUGGGACUGAGAUACGGCCCAGACUCCUACGGGAGGCAGCAGUGGAGAAUAUUGCACAAUGGGCGGAAGCCGGAUGCAGCAACGCCGCGUGCGGGAUGACGGCCUUCGGGUUGUAAGCCGCUUUCGCCUGUGACGAAGCGUGAGUGACGGUAAUGGGUAAAGAAGCACCGGCUAACUACGUG
rnacentral:rRNA from 1 species